AGAGUUUGAUCAUGGCUCAGGAUGAACGCUAGCGACAGGCUUAACACAUGCAAGUCGAGGGGCAGCAUGAUUUGUAGCGAUACAGAUUGAUGGCGACCGGCGCACGGGUGAGUAACGCGUAUGCAACUUACCUAUCAGAGGGGGAUAGCCCGGCGAAAGUCGGAUUAAUACCCCAUAAAACAGGGGUCCCGCAUGGGAAUAUUUGUUAAAGAUUCAUCGCUGAUAGGAUAGGCAUGCGUUCCAUUAGGCAGUUGGCGGGGUAACGGCCCACCAAACCGACGAUGGAUAGGGGUUCUGAGAGGAAGGUCCCCCACAUUGGUACUGAGACACGGACCAAACUCCUACGGGAGGCACA
rnacentral:rRNA from 1 species